AGGACGAACGCUGGCGGCGUGCUUAACACAUGCAAGUCGAGCGGAAAGGCCCUUCGGGGUACUCGAGCGGCGAACGGGUGAGUAACACGUGAGUAAUCUGCCCCUAGCUCUGGGAUAGCUCCGGGAAACCGGGAUUAAUACCGGAUACGACCACCUUAGACAUCUUUUGUGGUGGAAAGAAUUUCGGCUAGGGAUGAGCUCGCGGCCUAUCAGCUUGUUGGUGGGGUAACGGCCUACCAAGGCGACGACGGGUAGCCGGCCUGAGAGGGCGAACGGCCACACUGGGACUGAGACACGGCCCAGACUCCUGCGGGAGGCAGCAGUGGGGAAUAUUGCACAAUGGGCGAAAGCCUGAUGCAGCGACGCCGCGUGAGGGAUGACGGCCUUCGGUUGUAAACCUCUUUCAGCAGGGACCAAGCGUGAGUGAGUGUACCUGCAGAAGAAGCACGGCUAACUACGUGCCAGCAGCCGCGGUAA
rnacentral:rRNA from 1 species